CUUGUCUGAAAAGUCUCAUUGCGAUGGAUUUAAAGUUUGGAUAUCGGUUUAUUCGUGUAAUCUUCGUACUAAUGCAAGCUCCAAUAUCAUGAGUGUUUAUGAGGAAUUGACUGAAGUGUUUUGCCUAAUUGCGGGCACCUAGGCAAGGAUCACAAAUUAUGACGGUCUCCUCACAUCAGCGAUUAAUGGUCAGAUGUCUGAUGAACAAGUGGACCUGAAGCUUCAAGAGCAGAUUUAUUUCAGGAUGCUUGUUUUAUUUUGCAAUCCAGCUGUAAGGUGAACCAGAUAAACAAACUCUUUUAAUAGGCCAAGCUUUGAGUUGAUGCAAGGUGGUAAAUGCAUGAUGCUGCUAACUUAGCACAAAGCAGCAUCAGUGCAUGUGGGACAUAAACUUAAAAUUCACCUCAGACAUGCAGUGUAUCAAUUUAUUGUGGAUUAAGGUGGCACUUUUAGAGUUUUUUUGGAACAGUUGACUCUUCGAUUUGCAAUUCCAAAAAGGACCAGACUGCCAGAUACUGUAGAUGACUAGAAAUUUAUUUGAGGGAGCAAUUUGUCACAAGAAGCUGUAUUGGUGGUUUGUUUAAUUUUAAUAUUUCCAAAUUGAAGACUUACCAAUUCACCAUUGUUCUUAUCACUACUGGAUGAACUUGGGAACUGGUGCUGGGCAACAUGUCUAGCAUAGGGAACUGGCUACAACUGAGGUACCGUCAAGUGAAAAAAAAAGUUGAGGGUCCAAUCAAUCUGAUUUGCAAACUGAAAGUUCACUGACUGACAAACUGACUGACCAGCUAACUGACAAACAAAAAGACUUACUGACUGACUGUCCUAUUGACUGAUGGACUUACUGAGAUAGAGACUGAUUGACUGACUGGUUAUAUGAAUGAAAAACUGACUGACUGACUGGCUAGCUGACUGACUGACUGAUAGACUGGCUUACUGAUAGAGUGAUUGCCUGACUGACUGACUGACAAACUGAAAGACUUGCGUGCACUGACUAGCUAGCUGACUGACUGAAUUACUGGCUCAAUGGCAGGCUGAAAGACUGGCUAACUGACAGACUCACAGACAGACUGACACACUGAAUGACAGACAAACUGAUGGACUGAUAGUCUCACUGACUGAGUAACAGAUAGACAGACUGAAGGACUGACUUUCUGACUGACAGACUAAAUGAUGGACUUACUAGCAUACCAAAAGAUUGACUUACAGACAGACAGAGUGAUGGGUGACAAGCUGACUGGCUGGCUGACUGGCUGAUGAUCAGUUGCUCAGCCUGUUAGGGAAACAUUUAGAUGGACAGUCAGUGGCUUCACUGAUUGUGAGCCAUGCACAUAGGGUAUAGAUGGAACAGCAUCAAAUAGCAGUUUCUAUACUUCAAUUUGUCAACUGUUACAAAAUAUAUUGGAGGUGCCAAGACCUUGAAUCCACAAUAAUAAGUACUCAUUCAAUAAUGAAAUUAAUAGUUUAUUAUUUGAGUGAUGGUCUGCCUCAAAGUGACUCACUGACCUACAUGUACCUUUUGUACAACAUACCCCAGAACAUGUUUGCUACAGUUCAGCUAAAGAUCCAGAAAAUUCUUCAAGGUUGUAGGAAAUACAGAAACUUUACUUGGAUGGAGAAAAAAUUGAAAUUUUAAUAGAAAAUGUUUGAAAAAUUGAAAUCAUAGCACCACAAUGCAUCCAGUUGUCAUUGUUUUUAUUGAGGCCACAAUUUUGUUGCCAGGUGCUAUUGCUCUGGUAAAUAACUGACUAACGUGUAGACUCGCCGAUAGACUAACUGACCCAAUUGAUAAACUGGAUGACUGACUGUUAGAAUACUGACAGAAUGACUUAUUACAUGUAGUUUAAGAAACUAACUAACUAAAUGACUGACUCAAAUAAUCAGUUAAUGGAAUGGCUGACUUGUCAAUAGACUCACUGACACAUUGACAAGGUGAAUAAAUGACUUAAAGAUUGACUGAAUCAAUGAAUACCUGAAUGAAUGACUCACCUACAAACUCAAUUGGUUGCUGACUGUCUUAGGGAUUGAUGAAUAAUUGACUGCCUGACUACCUGACUCAUUCAUUGACUGACUGACUCAUAUGUUGACUGACUGUUGGACUAAAGGGGUAAGGCUUACUUACUGAGGUACUUACUGGCUGACUGAUUGACUAGCUGACUGACUGAUUGACAUACUGGCAGGCUGAUUGUCUUAUUGACUGAGUGGCUGACUGACUGACUGACUGACUGACAGACUAACUGACUGACUAAUUGACUGGCUGACUGACUGACUGACUGAGGUACUUACUGGCUGACUGAUUGACUAGCUGACUGACUGACUGAUUGACAUACUGGCAAGCUGAUUGUCUUAUUGACUAAGUGGCUGACUGACUGAGUUACUGCCUGACUGAUUAAUUAACUGACUGACUGGCUGACCAACUGACUGAGUUACUUAGUGGCUGACUGAUUGACUAACUGACUGACUGAUUGACAUACUGGAAAGCAGAUUGUCUUAUUGACUGAGUGGCUGACUGACUGAGUUACUGCCUGACUGAUUAAUCAACUGACUGACUGGCUGACCAACCGACUGAGUUACUUAGUGGCUGACUGAUUGAUUAACUGACUGACUGACUGACAGACAAACUUACUGGCAGACUGAUUUCUUAUUGACUCACUGGCUGACUGACUGAGUUACUUGCUGCCAUACUGAUUGUUUCACUGACUGACUGAGUUACUUAGUGGCUGACUGAUUGAUUAACCAACUGACUGAGUUACUUAGUGGCUGGCUGAUUGACCAACUGACUGAAUGGUUGACUGACUAAUUCAUGUAAUGAAUGACUACUGAAUGAAUAAGAGAACAGAACAAAAACUUACUAAUUAAAUUACCUCCUCUCAGAUUGACUUUCUGACUGAUGACUGUCCAGGUGGCUAUAACUAUUUGACAUCUGGUUGGAAAACUAAUUCACAAACUUACUUGCAACCAGAUAACUUUGGUCACACAUAAGUGUGCUACAAAGCUGUUUAAAACUUGGGUAAUUCUCAAGAAUUUAAACUGAAGAACAAAAUGAGAUGCAGGUAACCAGACAUGUUCAUGGGUUUGUAUGAGCACCUGGUUUCCUAGCAGUUCUCUAAUCUCGUGUGCCUUUCUUUGUGACACACUGCAUGUCUGGGUUAUUUACUACAGUCAAACAUCCUUGUUAAGGUAGCCAAAACAAACAUCCUUAUGAUGUGAAUCCAUUCUAUGUGACACACUAAGGAAAGUCCUUAUGUUGUGUUAUGUGGAUAAUUCAACCUCUUAAGAGGAUCUGAUGAUGAGUAAGUUUUGUUAAACCUCUCCUGGUUAUCCUCCUUUAAAUUUGAGUAAAAUCUUGACAACUUAUUCUCCAAAAAGCCUCUGAAACAUGUAUUUAAUAUUGCAGCAGGAAGUCUCCAAUUUAUUUCAAGUUUUUCACUCCGUGAAGGUCAUUAAAAUAAACAAUAACCCAAUUCGUAGAGUUACUGUGUUUAACCAAAUUAUCUUAUUGCUGCGUUUCAAUCACCUUGUGUGACAAAACUGACUGAAUUCUUUGUAACAAAUGAACUGCAGUAGAUUUUCAUUUUCUUAAAAAUAUUUUAGGACUAGGGACAUUAAAAUUUCUGGUCAAUUAUCGACGGAAUGACUGAAAUUCAUAUUUUCAAUAGAUUGCGCGUCAGAGUGACGUUGUGUGACUAAAUUAUGUAACACGCGUUGUGUGACCGUAAAUAGGAGACAAAACGUAUCGAACAAUUAGAACAAAUGUGAACUAUUUUGGGCAAUAUCUAACUUACUUUUGAAAAAUUUAGGGUCCGUUUCACAGCCGAUCAAGUUUCAUGAGGAUCUCAAAACGUUGAAAAGAAGCAAAGAUUUAAAAGUUUCGACUUUUAAAUAAGAAAUGCGUGUAAAAUGACAAGAAAAAUUUGCAUACUUGUUUUGAUUUCAAGUUCUUUUAGUUCUUUUUCUUCAAAAUUAAAACUUGACUACGAUGCUGCUGCAAUCUUGAAUGUAUAUUUCCUGUUAAAGUCAAACGCACUGGGAAACUAUAUGGGGAACGUAUUUCCGUGACAGUAUUUUAAAGUCUUUGCAAAACUUUGGCUUAUUAUUGUGAGUUUAUCUGGUUCACUUUUAAAUGGUUGGAUUGUAAAGUAAAGCAACACAGAAAUGAAUAUGACAAUAUUUUAUUGAUGAAAUAAAAUUGUCUGUCUUGUCCAUCACUUUAUUUCAGGAAAAAAAAAAUCAAUAAAUUAUUCCAACUUUAGAAUCCUGGUAAGUGCUAUCUGAUCCGUUAGUUCAAGCCGGGGACAGUUGAACACUUAGAAGAGUCGACCACUUGCUCCCAAGUAGGGAGGGGCAGGGUAAAGGAAAGUGAGAGUUUGCUUCCAAUGCCUCCAGGGUCUUUCUCCUAAUUUGUCACAAUAUCACACCUGAUCAAUUUGGAAUUAAUUAUUUGAAAAAAAAUUAAAAUUCAAAAUGGAAUUUUAGGGAAGGUGCUGAUUUGCAAGUCAAUGUAUCAAAAACUAAAGUGAUAUACCUCCGCGGCAAUAGGAAAUGAUUUUAGCUCGCAAUUGCGCCGUAAAUUUAGUAGAAUAAAACCUAAUUGAAUUAGAAAUGUUCCCAACCUGGGCAAAAAAACCGAAGCGCUAACUUGCGGUGCCCAAUUUUCAAUGCAUCGUCACUGAAAGCAAGGAAAGAUACUGAAUCGCACUAGUCUGGUUUGACUUUAUCACACAAAUGUCACCAAAGAGCACAAGUCGCUAAACGUCUCUCAUCAGUGAAGAUACCCAUACCAGAAUCUCUCUCUUUAAUCUAGAUGAAAUUAAUUUGGGCGAUUUUUAUCCUAAUAACAACGGGAAGGGUUUAGUCUUACAUUUACUAAAUAAUAUUUUGCGUAAGGUUUUAUUUAACUAUGCACAUUCGGCUUAGUUUGUUUGUUGACCAUUUCAAAUCACAAGACGUAGAUGGAGAAUUGUUCCUUUUCGAUUUGCAAUCAUGCACGUGUAUGCAAAGGACUCAUUGGAGGGGAAAAACCAAAGAACAAAUCUCCAGAGAACGUCCGUGAUCUGAGACAGGCAAUCAACAAACAAAGCUGAACGAGCCUUGAACUAAGUAAUAACAAAAAAAAUCUAGAAUAAACCUGGGAAGUUUUUAAAAAACUAAGAAGCGCUGAUUAUAAUAGAGAAAUGGAAAAAAUUACCUAACGCUCCUCUAGUUUUACUUAUUUAUACGAUUUGCAUUAGCUUUAAAUCCUCCCUCGGUUAGAUAUUUUUAAUUAAGGCGAAAUUGUGUUUUUAUUUUAUGCUAAUUAUCCCUAAGGAUGUUCCAGCACAAAAUUAUCUGUGACUGGACCAUUGCGUCACGAACAGCUACGUGAAGACUAUUAAGUAAGAUCUAUAUUGUAAAGUUAUGCAAUGAAAUAAAAGAGUAACCUAGA